rnacentral:rRNA from 1 species
AUGAACGCUAGCGGCAGGCCUAACACAUGCAAGUCGAGGGAGAAGCCCUUUCGGGGGCAGACACCGGCGCACGGGUGCGUAACGCGUAUGCAACCUACCUUUCACAGGGGGAUAGCCCGAAGAAAUUUGGAUUAAUACCCCAUAAUAUUGUUGGAUGGCAUCAUUUGGCAAUUAAAACUGCGGUGGUGAAAGAUGGGCAUGCGUCCUAUUAGCUAGUUGGAGUGGUAACGGCACCCCAAGGCUACGAUAGGUAGGGGUCCUGAGAGGGAGAUCCCCCACACUGGUACUGAGACAGGGACCAGACUCCUACGGGAGGCAGCAGUGAGGAAUAUUGGUCAAUGGUCGGAAGACUGAACCAGCCAUGCCGCGUGCAGGAAGAAUGCCUUAUGGGUUGUAAACUGCUUUUAUAUGGGAAGAAUAAGGCGUACGUGUACGUUGAUGACGGUACCAUAUGAAUAAGCAUCGGCUAACUCCGUG